AGUGAACGCUGGCGGCGUGCUUAACACAUGCAAGUCGAACGAGAACGGAUUAUAGCUUGCUAUAAUUGUCAGCUAAGUGGCGCACGGGUGAGUAAUGUAUAGGUAAUAUGCCUCUUACUAAGGGACAACAAAUGGAAACGUUUGCUAAUACCUUAUACUCCUUAUUAACAGAAGUUAAUAAGGGAAAGAUUUAUUGGUAAGAGAUUAGCCUGUAUUGUACCAGUUAGUUGGUGGGGUAAUGGCUUACCAAGACUAUGACACAUAACUGGUUUGAGAGGAUGAUCAGUCACACUGGAACUGGGACACGGUCCAGACUCCUACGGGAGGCAGCAGUGGGGAAUAUUGCACAAUGGACGGAAGUCUGAUGCAGCAACGCCGCGUGGAGGAUGACACAUUUCGGUGCGUAAACUCCUUUUAUAUGAGAAGAUAAUGACGGUAUUAUAUGAAUAAGCACCGGCUAACUCCGUGCCAGCCGCCGCGGUAAGAC
rnacentral:rRNA from 1 species